rnacentral:rRNA from 1 species
CCUACGGGUGGCUGCAGUAGGGAAUCUUCGGCAAUGGACGGAAGUCUGACCGAGCAACGCCGCGUGAGUGAAGAAGGUUUUCGGAUCGUAAAGCUCUGUUGUAAGAGAAGAACGAGUGUGAGAGUGGAAAGUUCACACUGUGACGGUAUCUUACCAGAAAGGGACGGCUAACUACGUGCCAGCAGCCGCGGUAAUACGUAGGUCCCGAGCGUUGUCCGGAUUUAUUGGGCGUAAAGCGAGCGCAGGCGGUUAGAUAAGUCUGAAGUUAAAGGCUGUGGCUUAACCAUAGUACGCUUUGGAAACUGUUUAACUUGAGUGCAAGAGGGGAGAGUGGAAUUCCAUGUGUAGCGGUGAAAUGCGUAGAUAUAUGGAGGAACACCGGUGGCGAAAGCGGCUCUCUGGCUUGUAACUGACGCUGAGGCUCGAAAGCGUGGGGAGCAAACAGGAUUAGAUACCCGAGUAGUC